rnacentral:rRNA from 1 species
AGAGUUUGAUCCUGGCUCAGAAUUAACGCUGGCGGCGUGCCUAACACAUGCAAGUCGUACGAGAAAGGGGCUUCGGCCCUGAGUAGAGUGGCGCACGGGUGAGUAACGCGUGGGUAAUCUGCCCUUGGAUUUGGAAUAACUCCGCGAAAGUGGAGCUAAUACCGGAUAGUCUGGCUUUUUAACGAAGUCGGUAAAGGAUGCCUCUGCAUAUGCAUUCGUCCGAGGAUGAGCCCGCGUCUCAUUAGCUAGUUGGUAGGGUAAUGGCCUACCAAGGCAACGAUGAGUAGCUGGUCUGAGAGGAUGAUCAGCCACACUGGAACUGAAACACGGUCCAGACUCCUACGGGAGGCAGCAGUGGGGAAUAUUGCGCAAUGGGCGAAAGCCUGACGCAGCAACGCCGUGUGAGGGAUGAAGGCUUUCGGGUCGUAAACCUCUGUCAGAAGGGAAGAACGGGCAUUGGUCUAAUAGGCCUUUGUUUUGACGGUACCUUCAGAGGAAGCACCGGCUAACUCCGUGCCAGCAGCCGCGGUAA